rnacentral:rRNA from 1 species
UGGGGAAUCUUGGACAAUGGGGGCAACCCUGAUCCAGCCAUGCCGCGUGAGUGAUGAAGGCCUUAGGGUCGUAAAGCUCUUUCGCCUGUGAAGAUAAUGACGGUAGCCGGAGAAGAAGCCCCGGCUAACUCCGUGCCAGCAGCCGCGGUAAUACGGAGGGGGUUAGCGUUGUUCGGAAUUACUGGGCGUAAAGCGCACGUAGGCGGACCAGAAAGUUGGGGGUGAAAUCCCGGGGGCUCAACCCCGGAACUGCCUCCAAAACUAUUGGUCUAGAGUUCGAGAGAGGUGAGUGGAAUUCCAAGUGUAGAGGUGAAAUUCGUAGAUAUUUGGAGGAACACCAGUGGCGAAGGCGGCUCACUGGCUCGAUACUGACGCUGAGGUGCGAAAAGUGUGGGGAGCAAAACAGGAUUAGAUACCCUGGUAGUCCACACCGUAAAACGAUGAAUGCCAGUCGUCGGGUAGCAUGCUAUUCGGUGACACACCUAACGGAUUAAGCAUUCCGCCUGGGGAGUACGGUCGCAAGAUUAAAA